rnacentral:rRNA from 1 species
GAAGGUGUGCUGUGAGGCAUGCUGGAGGUAUCAGAAGUGCGAAUGCUGACAUAAGUAACGAUAAAGCGGGUGAAAAGCCCGCUCGCCGGAAGACCAAGGGUUCCUGUCCAACGUUAAUCGGGGCAGGGUGAGUCGACCCCUAAGGCGAGGCCGAAAGGCGUAGUCGAUGGGAAACAGGUUAAUAUUCCUGUACUUGGUGUUACUGCGAAGGGGGGACGGAGAAGGCUAUGUUGGCCGGGCGACGGUUGUCCCGGUUUAAGCGUGUAGGCUGGUUUUCCAGGCAAAUCCGGAAAAUCAAGGCUGAGGCGUGAUGACGAGGCACUACGGUGCUGAAGCAACAAAUGCCCUGCUUCCAGGAAAAGCCUCUAAGCAUCAGGUAACAUCAAAUCGUACCCCAAACCGACACAGGUGGUCAGGUAGAGAAUACCAAGGCGCUUGAGAGAACUCGGGUGAAGGAACUAGGCAAAAUGGUGCCGUAACUUCGGGAGAAGGCACGCUGAUAUGUAGGUGAAGCGACUUGCUCGUGGAGCUGAAAUCAGUCGAAGAUACCAGCUGGCUGCAACUGUUUAUUAAAAACACAGCACUGUGCAAACACGAAAGUGGACGUAUACGGUGUGACGCCUGCCCGGUGCCGGAAGGUUAAUUGAUGGGGUCAGCGCAAGCGAAGCUCUUGAUCGAAGCCCCGGUAAACGGCGGCCGUAACUAUAACGGUCCUAAGGUAGCGAAAUUCCUUGUCGGGUAAGUUCCGACCUGCACGAAUGGCGUAAUGAUGGCCAGGCUGUCUCCACCCGAGACUCAGUGAAAUUGAACUCGCUGUGAAGAUGCAGUGUACCCGCGGCAAGACGGAAAGACCCCGUGAACCUUUACUAUAGCUUGACACUGAACAUUGAGCCUUGAUGUGUAGGAUAGGUGGGAGGCUUUGAAGUGUGGACGCCAGUCUGCAUGGAGCCGACCUUGAAAUACCACCCUUUAAUGUUUGAUGUUCUAACGUUGACCCGUGAUCCGGGUUGCGGACAGUGUCUGGUGGGUAGUUUGACUGGGGCGGUCUCCUCCUAAAGAGUAACGGAGGAGCACGAAGGUUGGCUAAUCCUGGUCGGACAUCAGGAGGUUAGUGCAAUGGCAUAAGCCAGCUUGACUGCGAGCGUGACGGCGCGAGCAGGUGCGAAAGCAGGUCAUAGUGAUCCGGUGGUUCUGAAUGGAAGGGCCAUCGCUCAACGGAUAAAAGGUACUCCGGGGAUAACAGGCUGAUACCGCCCAAGAGUUCAUAUCGACGGCGGUGUUUGGCACCUCGAUGUCGGCUCAUCACAUCCUGGGGCUGAAGUAGGUCCCAAGGGUAUGGCUGUUCGCCAUUUAAAGUGGUACGCGAGCUGGGUUUAGAACGUCGUGAGACAGUUCGGUCCCUAUCUGCCGUGGGCGCUGGAGAACUGAGGGGGGCUGCUCCUAGUACGAGAGGACCGGAGUGGACGCAUCACUGGUGUUCGGGUUGUCAUGCCAAUGGCACUGCCCGGUAGCUAAAUGCGGAAGAGAUAAGUGCUGAAAGCAUCUAAGCACGAAACUUGCCCCGAGAUGAGUUCUCCCUGACUCCUUGAGAGUCCUGAAGGAACGUUGAAGACGACGACGUUGAUAGGCCGGGUGUGUAAGCGCAGCGAUGCGUUGAGCUAACCGGUACUAAUGAACCGUGAGG